rnacentral:rRNA from 1 species
CCUACGGGGGGCUGCAGUGGGGAAUAUUGGACAAUGGGGGGAACCCUGAUCCGGCCAUGCCGCGUGUGUGAAGAAGGCCCUCGGGUUGUAAAGCACUUUCAGUGAGGAAGAACGCCUGGUGGUUAAUACCCAUCAGGAAAGACAUCACUCACAGAAGAAGCACCGGCUAACUCCGUGCCAGCAGCCGCGGUAAUACGGAGGGUGCGAGCGUUAAUCGGAAUUACUGGGCGUAAAGCGCGCGUAGGUGGCUUGAUAAGCCGGUUGUGAAAGCCCCGGGCUCAACCUGGGAACGGCAUCCGGAACUGUCAAGCUAGAGUGCAGGAGAGGAAGGUAGAAUUCCCGGUGUAGCGGUGAAAUGCGUAGAGAUCGGGAGGAAUACCAGUGGCGAAGGCGGCCUUCUGGACUGACACUGACACUGAGGUGCGAAAGCGUGGGUAGCAAACAGGAUUAGAUACCCCAGUAGUC